rnacentral:misc_RNA from 1 species
AGAAAACCCUAAAAUUCUCACAGCUAUAUCGCCGCUCUCGUCCUUACAUUGCUCCUUCAUCAUUUUGAUGCCUACUUUUCAGAUAUACCUGCCAGCCUGAGUUCUCGAAGCAACAAGUUCCUUAAACAUGAGUAAGAAGAAACCGCAGGUGUUCCUUGAUGUUUCAAUUGAUGGCGACCCAGUUGAAAGAAUGGCUUUUGAGGUAUCAAGCUAUCCACCCGCUAGAUUUGUUAUCCCUAAAUAUACUUAUUUGAACUCACAUAACGAGAUACUUACAGUUGGAUACCCUUGAGUUAUCUUAUUUGCAGCUUUUCACCGACGUGGCUCCAAAAACUGCAGAGAACUUCCGUGCACUGUGUACAGGGGAGAAAGGAGUCAGCUCUAAGACGGGAAGACCAUUGCAUUAUAAAGGAACCUUUUUCCAUCGUAUUGUCAAGGGAUCCGUGGCUCAGGCAGGUGACAUGCUGAGACAAGAUGGGAACUAUGGGGAAAGCAUCUAUGGGGGAAAGUUUCCAGAUGAGUCGCCGAAGAUAAAACAUGAUUCCCAAGGUCUACUAUCUAUGGCUAUUGCUGAUCGUGAUGCACGCGGUUCUAUAUUUUCCAUCACCUUUCAGGCUGAUCAUCAUCUUGACAGGAAAUGUGUAGUCUUCGGCAAACUUGUUGAUGGCCUUGAAGUUCUUAAGAAAAUUGAGAGUGUGGGAAAUGAAGAGGGAAAACCUGAUGUAACUGUGAAGAUAAUCAAUAGUGGCGAGUUACCUGAUGAUAAGAGAAAGCUAAAUAAAUUGAAAAAUGGGAAGCACAAAAAAUCCGCCAAAGAGAGAAAGAAAAAGAGGAGGAGAUAUUAUACAUCAGAAUCAGAGAGCUCAACAGAUAGUGAUACUGAGUCUUCUGAGUCUGAAAGUGAUUCCGACUCGGAUGUAUCUUCUGAUUCUGAAAUUAGCUCAUCAAGUGAUGAUAGACGGAGGAAGAGGAAGAGAUCUAAAAGAGACAGGCAUAGACGUUCCAAAAGAAAGGAGAAGCGACGUGAGAAAAAGCGCAAAAGACGUGACAAGAAAUCUAAGCGCAAAUCGAAAAGGGCAUCAGACAGUCCUUCAGAAAGUGAGAGUGGACGUGAUGGUUUAGACGAAGAUGGUGUAAGACGGGCUUCCGGAGGAAAGCACAAAAGUAUGGAAAAGAAAACAGAAGGAAAUCAUUCUCCUUCGCUUGAGGAGGGAGAAGCAGUUUCUCUUCAUCACAAGAAAGAGGCAACUGACAUUUUUGAAGGAGAGGAGGUAGAAUUUCCCAAGGAGAACGGAGAGCGUCAAAGCAAUAAUACCAAAAUGGAAAUUAGAUCUGAUAAACCUGUUGAUAGGCAGCCUGAUGUGGUGGAUGAUCACCCUGGCAAAUCUAGGAGCAGAAGUAUAAGUCCCAAAAGGACAAUGAGUAGGAGUAUGAGCAUUAGUCCUCGGAGGAGUUUAAGCAGAAGUCGAAGUAUUAGCCCAAAGCGCAGUGUGAGCAGGAGCCCAAGUGUGAGAUCCAGACAUAGUGUAAGCAGAAGUCCAAGUCGCAGUGGAAGUCCUCAUCGCGUCUCACAGAGAAGGAGCAGCAGCAUUGUUAAGAGUCGUAGUGGUAGUCCCGCAAGAAGCAUUAGUAGAAGCCCAGUGAGAGGCAAGAGGGGAGGAAGUGUCAGUGUGAGUCCUCCAGCGAGAGCUCAUUCACGCCGAAGGAGUAGCAGAAGUCCGUCAGCAUCUCCUAGAAGGCAACUUACCCCAAGUCCACACAGAGCCUCAUCAAGGAAGUCGGUGAAAUCUAAAAGUCGAACACCAGUUAGAUCUUAUAGAAGGAGUCCAAGUGGAAGCCCUGUUAGGUCUUCUCGAAGGAGCCCAAGCAAAAGUCCUGUUAGGUCUUCACGGAGGAGUGCAAGCAGAAGUUCAGGUAGGGUUCCUUCAAGGCUUAGGCCUGCUGGAAGGAGCCCUAGCAGAAGCCCUGUCAAGUCUUCUCGACGGAGUGUAAGCCGAAGUUCAGGUAGGGUUCCUUCUAGGCGAAGCCCAAGCCGAAGUCCAGGUAGGGCUCCUAGCAGGAACAAUCGACGCAGCUAUUCAAGAAGUCCUGUUAGUGCAGGUCGUAGGGCUAGAUCUCCGGUGUAUGAUCGUGCGAGGAGCUCUUCAAGAAGUGCUUCAGUGGAUGGAUCUCCCAAGCGCAUUAGGAGGGGAAGGGGCUUUAGUGAGCGUUACUCCUAUGUUCGUAGAUACAGGAGUCGGUCUCCUGACCGGUCCCCUGCUAGGCCAUACCGUUAUGGUGAGCGUGACAGAUAUUCGAGAUACAGGAGAUCACCUAGGCGUUAUAGGAGUCCACCUAGAGGAAGAACACCGCCCAGAUACAGAGGCAGAAGAAGCCGAAGCCGCAGCGUCUCACGUAGUCCAGUGCGUUACCGUGGUCGCCGUUAUAGUCGAAGCCCUGUACAAAGUCGCUCUCCUGUGGACAGAUAUCGCAGGUCACCAUCAGCUGAACGCCGUAAAUCACCUUCUCGGAGCAGAAGCCGAUCAGAGUCGAAAUCAUCUCGGGGCUCACGAUCACCAAAGCAAGUCAGCAGAGGCAAGUCAGUAUCAUCCUCGGCGAGUCCCCCUGGGAAGGCAGGUCUGGUUUCCUAUGGAGAUGGAUCUCCUGAAUCGGGAUAAGGAGUACAUGUAGUUGCUGAGUAGUGCAACUGGACAUACGUAUUUGAGUUUUCACCAUUCUGCGACUAUGGCUUGGCCAAAUGGAUAGUCUUUUCCUAUGUAGUGGAUUCUGGACGGCAUUUUGGAUACUUAAAACUUGUGUGCUUGGUGUUGUGUGCGUGUGAUUUAUGAUGCCUUUGAAUAAUUUUUUAUGCUUGGCUAUUAGAAUUGGCAUAGGGAGUAAUGUUCAGACUGCUUGCUUACGAAAUAUUGGAUUUGCAUCAUCACGCCAUGUUAUUUAGGAUUUCUUGUACGGAGGAAUUGGGGUUCUUCAUGUCAGUGAAGGCCUAUUUUGGACUAGUCAUGUGUUGGUUUUGGUUGAUCUUGACAACUUCCAUGGCUUGAAUUUGCAGCGGCAGAGCUCUUGUUUUGUGGCCCAUUGAUAUUCUUCAUCCUUCUCUCUGUUUCUUCUAGGUAUAUUUUGAAAUAAUUCCUUUGUAUACUGUUUAAUCUGUGGGGAU